CAACUAACCCCAUACCUUUAACUUCACCAGUGCCAACUACAACCACCCAACCACCAACUACGACUGCAACUACAAUGAUGGCUAAACCCACUACAACAACCCAACCUCUAAGCAUGGUGGCAACAACACCUAUACUUAAUGCAACAACCCAACCCUUGACAGCUACUACAACACUCAUGGCUACUACAACAACCCAACCCCAAACCACAACUACCCCCACACCUGCAACCACACCAGUGCCAACUACAACCACCCAGUCCCCAACCAUGUCUACAAUGACAGCCACAGCCCAACUCCCAACAACUUCACUUAUUACAAUCUCCACUACAAAUUCAACAUAUGCUUCAAGACCAGGUUUUAUUGUUGCUCUGAAUGGGAAGAUAUCUAUAAGAUAUAAGCCACUGAAAAAUGAGCUUGUAACCAUUGAAAAACAGAUUAAAGAUGAACUGGUCAGACGAGGAUUGCCAUCAACUAUGAGUGUUAGCCUCUUUUGUCCCGUUUCAGAACGAAUGGUCGAUCUACCCUGAGUAGAAAGCUGCUGAGUAGUUCUACCUCAUUUUGUCACUUUCUGUUUCAGAACAGGUGAUAUCAAUCAGGUAAUUAAACGCAGCGUCCUGUCAACCCUGAGUUAGGCGCGAGCCCGAGCAUGAAAUAAUCCCUCAUCAAUGGAACACAGAUAACGCAGUUCACCAUGACAUGAAAUAAGAACCCUGGAAGUUUGCAUUUCCCGCAGGUAGAAAUAGAAAUCUUUAGUAAAGGUAUGGGCUGCACAGUGUCGCAGUGGGUAGCACUGUUGCCUUGCAGCAAGAAGGUCCUAUAUGUUCGACUCCAACCCUGGGUCUUUCUGCAUGGAGUUUGCAUGAUCUGCAUGCAUGGGUUCUCCCCGGGUACUCCGUAACUGUCCAAGUCCAAAAACAUAACUCUUAGGUUAAUUGGCCCCUCUAAAUUAUCCUUAGGUGUGAGGCUACGCGUGAAUAGUUGUUUGUCCUGUUGCCCUACGAUA